CAGUGGUUGUUUGUUUCAGUACUUGAUUUAAUUUCUGGCCAGUAAAUAUUGCUUAUCAACAGGGGUUGGCGAAGUAUGGUUCCAUUAGUUGCUGAAGGUUAUAGAUAUGUUUACUUGUGAACUAUAUCAUUGAUGAAAAGUUUAAAAGUAAUGAAAUGAUUAAGAUGAAAAUCGUUCUUGUUAUGAAAUAUAUGGUUUUCAACCCAGUCUCUCUGUUGGGCUUUUGUUAUGAAACACUAGUGCUAAUAGCUGGGAGCUAAUCAUGUCGAUAUUAUCUAUAUAUUUUGAAUUUCUUGCACUCAUUCUCUUCGGGUCUUGUAGCAAGAGUACAUUCGUGGAAUCAGUGCAUGGAAUUUUAAUCUGGAGGAUUUGAAAGCUCAAGCUGCCAUUGACAAAGAGGGUACAUGAUUGGUGUAAAAAUAGGUAGUGACUUAGACGAGUUGAUUUAUCAAGGCAUGUACUAGCAAUGAAUCCAAGGAAGGAAAUCAAUGCAGUGCUGAAGAAGGAAGCAGAUUACUUUGGCGACAUUGUGAUUUUGCCAUUUAUGGACCAUUAUGAGUUUGUGGUUCUUAAAACCAUUGCCAUCUAUGAGUAUGGGAGAAUUAUUAAUCAAUAGAGUCCAUUCCAUCCAUAUGUCUGCAUGCCUGCCUGCUAAGGGAGGAAAUUGCAGUUUGGUUAUUUCCAUUUUAUUAUAUGAAUGCUUGCAAUUCAAUUUGAUAGUGCAUUGAAAUUCACCCCAACUACCAAAGGGUUUUACUGAUAAUUGGACAGUUCCUUUGUUUCAAUGCCAUUGAUGCACAACAUUUUCGCAUUUAAAAAAGAAAAAGAACAAAAAAGAAAAAAAAAGAAGAAGCCUUGAGAUCUAGUUGGUGUUUUUGUUCUGGGAAAAGCUUAAACCUUGAAUGUUAGUUGUUUUACAACAUGAGUUGUUCUUAUUCUAAUUCUGUGAAUUUUCUAUAAUUUUCUUCACUUGAAUGUCAUAAAAAGAUAUUUUUGGUUUGCCUGUGAGUCCAAUUAGUGACCCAAGUUUCCAGACUCGUGAAUCUUUGAUUUUAUUUUACAAAUGGGUUGCA